CCUACGGGAGACAGCAGUAGGGAAUUUUCGUCAAUGGGCGCAAGCCUGAACGAGCAAUGCCGCGUGAACGAGGAAGGUCUUCGGAUCGUAAAGUUCUGUUGAAGGGGAAAAAGAGCGGAUAGAGGAAAUGGACUCCGAUUGAUCUUACCCUUCGAGGAAGUCACGGCUAACUACGUGCCAGCAGCCGCGGUAAUACGUAGGUGGCGAGCGUUAUCCGGAAUGAUUGGGCGUAAAGGGUGCGUAGGCGGCCUGCUAAGUCUGGAGUGAAAGGUACCGGCUCAACCGGUACAGGCUCUGGAGACUGGCGGGCUAGAGAGCAGGAGAGGGCGGGGGAAAUCCAUGUGUAGCGGGAAAAUGCGUAGAUAUAUGGAAGAACACCAGUGGCGAAGGCGGCCGCCUGGCCUGGUGACUGACGCUGAGGCACGAAAGCGUGGGGAGCAAAUAGGAUUAGAUACCCCUGUAGUC
rnacentral:rRNA from 1 species